rnacentral:rRNA from 1 species
UGCCAGCAGCCGCGGUAAUACGGAGGGGGCGAGCGUUAUUCGGAAUUACUGGGCGUAAAGGGUGCGUAGGCGGCCCAUCAAGUUAGACGUGAAAGCCCCGAGCUCAACUUGGGAACUGCCUUUGAUACUGUUUAUCUAGAGUCCGAGAGAGGUUAGUGGAAUUCCCAGUGUAGAGGUGAAAUUCGUAGAUAUUGGGAAGAACACCAGUGGCGAAGGCGGCUAACUGGCUCGGUACUGACGCUGAGAUGCGAAAGCGUGGGGAGCAAACAGGAUUAGAUA